rnacentral:rRNA from 1 species
UACGAAGGGGGGCUAGCGUUGCUCGGAAUUACUGGGCGUAAAGCGCACGUAGGCGGUUUCUUAAGUCAGGGGUGAAAUCCUGGAGCUCAACUCCAGAACUGCCUUUGAUACUGAGGAUCUUGAGUUCGGGAGAGGUGAGUGGAACUGCGAGUGUAGAGGUGAAAUUCGUAGAUAUUCGCAAGAACACCAGUGGCGAAGGCGGCUCACUGGCCCGAUACUGACGCUGAGGCACGAAAGCGUGGGGAGCAAACAGG